AAGUCGUAACAAGGUUUCCGUAGGUGAACCUGCGGAAGGAUCAUUAACGAGUUUUGAAAUGGGUUGUUGCUGGCCUUCCGAGGCAUGUGCACGCCCUGCUCAUCCACUCUACACCUGUGCACUUACUGUAGGUUGGCGUGGGUUUCUAGCCUCCGGGUUGGAAGCAUUCUGCCGGCCUAUGUACACUACAAACUCUUGAAGUAUCAGAAUGUAAACGCGUCUAACGCAUCUUAAUACAACUUUCAGCAACGGAUCUCUUGGCUCUC
rnacentral:misc_RNA from 1 species